rnacentral:rRNA from 1 species
AGGAUGAACGCUAGCGGCAGGCUUAAUACAUGCAAGUCGUGGGGCAGCAUGAGUAGCAAUACUUGAUGGCGACCGGCAAACGGGUGAGGAACACGUACACAACCUUCCUUCAAGCGGGGAAUAGCCCAGGGAAAUUUGGAUUAAUACCCCAUAAUAUAUUUGAUAAGGCAUCUUAUUAAUAUUAAAGCUUCGGCACUUGAUGAUGGGUGUGCGGCUGAUUAGAUAGUUGGCGGGGUAACGGCCCACCAAGUCUACGAUCAGUAGCUGAUGUGAGAGCAUGAUCAGCCACACGGGCACUGAGACACGGGCCCGACUCCUACGGGAGGCAGCAGUAAGGAAUAUUGGACAAUGGACGAAAGUCUGAUCCAGCCAUGCCGCGUGAAGGAUUAAGGUCCUCUGGAUUGUAAACUUCUUUUAUAUGGGACGAAAAAAGGGCAUUCUUGUUCACUUGACGGUACCAUAUGAAUAAGCACCGGCUAACUCCGUG